rnacentral:tRNA from 1 species
GCGGAUAUGAUGGAACUGGUAGACAUGCAAGACUUAGAAUCUUGUGAGGCGACUCGUGCAGGUUCGAUUCCUGUUAUCCGCACCA